GGCAAAUGAAAUGCCUUUUUCAGUGAAAAUGUACAAAAUAAAGAGCAAGGCUGAACCUGGACCGAACCGUGCUAUCAACACGCUCAUAUUCUCUUACGCAGGUUAAGUGGACUCCGAACAUGAAUGCAAAUAUUCAAAUAAGGGCACUCCCGUUGUAGGCGGUAGUUCUUUCAUAGGAGGAAAUGAAAGUUGAUGUUUUUUGAGCGUAUCGAAAAUAUUGCUUUUGCUUUGACGAUUUAGGUGUACACAAAGGUUAGAACCUUUUUUGAGUUGUCUUUCUUCAACUUCACUCGGUUCCUUGUGCCCC
rnacentral:lncRNA from 1 species